rnacentral:rRNA from 1 species
CGAAUGCUGACAUAAGUAACGAUAAAGCGGGUGAAAAGCCCGCUCGCCGGAAGACCAAGGGUUCCUGUCCAACGUUAAUCGGGGCAGGGUGAGUCGACCCCUAAGGCGAGGCCGAAAGGCGUAGUCGAUGGGAAACAGGUUAAUAUUCCUGUACUUGGUGUUACUGCGAAGGGGGGACGGAGAAGGCUAUGUUGGCCGGGCGACGGUUGUCCCGGUUUAAGCGUGUAGGCUGGUUUUCCAGGCAAAUCCGGAAAAUCAAGGCUGAGGCGUGAUGACGAGGCACUACGGUGCUGAAGCAACAAAUGCCCUGCUUCCAGGAAAAGCCUCUAAGCAUCAGGUAACAUCAAAUCGUACCCCAAACCGACACAGGUGGUCAGGUAGAGAAUACCAAGGCGCUUGAGAGAACUCGGGUGAAGGAACUAGGCAAAAUGGUGCCGUAACUUCGGGAGAAGGCACGCUGAUAUGUAGGUGAAGCGACUUGCUCGUGGAGCUGAAAUCAGUCGAAGAUACCAGCUGGCUGCAACUGUUUAUUAAAAACACAGCACUGUGCAAACACGAAAGUGGACGUAUACGGUGUGACGCCUGCCCGGUGCCGGAAGGUUAAUUGAUGGGGUUAGCGGUAACGCGAAGCUCUUGAUCGAAGCCCCGGUAAACGGCGGCCGUAACUAUAACGGUCCUAAGGUAGCGAAAUUCCUUGUCGGGUAAGUUCCGACCUGCACGAAUGGCGUAAUGAUGGCCAGGCUGUCUCCACCCGAGACUCAGUGAAAUUGAACUCGCUGUGAAGAUGCAGUGUACCCGCGGCAAGACGGAAAGACCCCGUGAACCUUUACUAUAGCUUGACACUGAACAUUGAGCCUUGAUGUGUAGGAUAGGUGGGAGGCUUUGAAGUGUGGACGCCAGUCUGCAUGGAGCCGACCUUGAAAUACCACCCUUUAAUGUUUGAUGUUCUAACGUAGGCCCCUUAUCGGGGUUGCGGACAGUGUCUGGUGGGUAGUUUGACUGGGGCGGUCUCCUCCUAAAGAGUAACGGAGGAGCACGAAGGUUGGCUAAUCCUGGUCGGACAUCAGGAGGUUAGUGCAAUGGCAUAAGCCAGCUUGACUGCGAGCGUGACGGCGCGAGCAGGUGCGAAAGCAGGUCAUAGUGAUCCGGUGGUUCUGAAUGGAAGGGCCAUCGCUCAACGGAUAAAAGGUACUCCGGGGAUAACAGGCUGAUACCGCCCAAGAGUUCAUAUCGACGGCGGUGUUUGGCACCUCGAUGUCGGCUCAUCACAUCCUGGGGCUGAAGUAGGUCCCAAGGGUAUGGCUGUUCGCCAUUUAAAGUGGUACGCGAGCUGGGUUUAGAACGUCGUGAGACAGUUCGGUCCCUAUCUGCCGUGGGCGCUGGAGAACUGAGGGGGGCUGCUCCUAGUACGAGAGGACCGGAGUGGACGCAUCACUGGUGUUCGGGUUGUCAUGCCAAUGGCACUGCCCGGUAGCUAAAUGCGGAAGAGAUAAGUGCUGAAAGCAUCUAAGCACGAAACUUGCCCCGAGAUGAGUUCUCCCUGACCCUUUAAGGGUCCUGAAGGAACGUUGAAGACGACGACGUUGAUAGGCCGGGUGUGUAAGCGCAGCGAUGCGUUGAGCUAACCGGUACUAAUGAACCGUGAGGCUUAACCUU